GAAUAUUUUUUAAAUUCCAUUUCUCGGUACUGCUGCUACAGGAGCAUACUCGAGGAGGGAAAGUAGAGAAUGUUUUAUCUAACAUGUCAUGAUUCGUGAUACUUUUUCCGCAUAAAUCAAACUGCGAUUUAAUUCUAAACAUCGCAAAAUUAUAUUUAGUUACAUUUUUAAAGUCCUGAAACCUCAAAUAGGUCCAUUCAUGUCGAGCUUGUGGAAGAAUGACCAUCUUCAAGUAGUCGUAUCUUUCUUUUAAAUUAUUCACAAUAUGAGGGGAUCUUUAAUUGUGAGGUAUUCCAUUUUU
rnacentral:lncRNA from 1 species